rnacentral:lncRNA from 10 species
GGGAUGAUAGCUCACUGCAAGCUCUGUCUCCCGGGUUCAAAAAAUCCUCCUGCUUCAGCUUCCUGAGUAGCUAGGACUACAGGUGCAUGCCACCACUUCUGGCUAUUUUGUGUGUUGUUUGCAUUUAUUGUAGAGAUGGGGACUUGCUAUGUUGCCUAGGCUGGUCUCAAACUCCAGGUCUCAAGCAACCUGCCAGCCUCGCCUCCCAAAGCGUUGGGAUUACAGACAUGAGCCACUGCACCUGGAUCUACUUGUUACAAAAGUCUUCUCCCAAUUGGUUGCUUUUCUUUCAGUUUUGCUAGUGAAUGAUUUUCAACUGAAAAGUUUUAUUUUUUUAUUAAGUCAAAUCUGCCUAUGAUUUUAUCACCACUGAGAUUAAUGGCAUGCUUAGAAAGUCCUGUCCAUUCCUCCAGUGGAAAUGUUUUCUAGUACUUUCAUAGGUUCAUGUUGUUAAUAUUGGUCUCAUUUCUUAUUUCUAAAUUUCUUCUUUAAUAAAAUUAAUUCCCCAAAGUAUCAUUGUUGAGUCUGGGUUUUAUUUUAUUGGUUUAGGCAAUACAAACAAUGAUAAAUAAUUUAAAGUAUGAAAAAAGCUAUAAAGUGACAAUUAAGUUUCCUGACACACUUGAUCCACACCCUGCAAAGGUAAACACAUUAUCAGUUUUGUGUUCUGUACUUCCAGAGACAAUUUUCUUCUUUUUGAUAUUGUUUAAAGGUAGAUAUUUAAUCAAAUUUUAAUGUAUUCUGCUUUAUUUGAGGUAGAAUUCUACUUCUGUUCAAAUAGCCAAUUAUUCAACAUUAUUUAUUUUAGAACAGUCCAUUAUUUUUCCAGCAAUUUUUGAAUGUCAGUAUCUCAUAUAAUUCCCUAAUUAUAGCUAAAUCAUUCUUAAUGUCUCUUUCACAACACUGACCUACUCCAUUUUCCUAUUUUCACACCAUUUGUCAAAUAUUUCCAAAAUUAUUUGUGGAAAGACAGGGUGAGGUAGACUUAAGUAGAGAUUUAACAGAAAAAUUGACUGUUUAUAUAAUAGUUGGUUUGUGACAGGACAAGAUUCUCGUUGUUUUUAGUUUUCAACAUCCUUGCAUCUAGAGGAAUGUUAGAAUCAAAUUUGUAAGGUCCACAUAAUAUUCAUUGGGAACUGGUUUACAUUCAUCAAAUAAUUAGGAAAAAGGUAUUUUAUAGCAAGUGGCUAAGUUAGAUUGCAAUUGUAUAUUUAGUAAAGGCAUGUUGAGUAAACUCCAAAAGAAUGACUGCAUUUUUUUCAAAACAUAAACAAUGAAGUUAUUGCAUAUGUAGACAGGUGUGGAGUAGGUCAAAGUGUCAGUGAUGUAACAAUUUGUUUCCUUGACUCACACACUUCACUUGAAAUGAUGGAUGUCCUAGUGUCUCCUGGCUUUUUAGGCUUGGAUCUUGCCCAUUCACGUCAUUAUAGGGUUAUCAUUAUGUCUUUACAAGUGUAAUUUUAUAAGUUGUAAAAGUGAGUUUGUGUUGUUAUGGCUAUUCUUUCUUUAGAGACAGGUAAUUACAAGUGCAUCUUCAUAACUUUCUCCUCCCAGCCACUCUGGGGAACUCUUUAGAAUGGUUUUCUGCCUUAGCUUCUUCACAUGUGAAACAUUUUCCUAUUAGUCCUGGCAUGAUUCCCCUUAGUUUUGGGAAGCUGAUCAAAUUCCAACGAUCAAAAAAUAGGACUAAAUAGAUAUUUAACAAUGGCAUAAAAAAUAAAAACACUGAAACAGUGUGGUAUGUCUAAUCUACCUACAAUGCAAUAUUGGCCCUCAUGGAAUAUGUAUUAUACAAAGUUCUAGUAAAAUGGUAAACAUUUGGUCUUCAAUUAGUAUUGAAAAUAUGAUCAAGGAUGUUUAUUCACUUAUUCAGCUCAGACUGCAGCUGUUUGGCUCUUACUACGGACCACAUAUGUGAGUCUAAAGCUGUUAGCAAUGACACUGCCGCAGACCGGAGGGGACUAGUUUGUAACUUAGACAAACAUUUUCUCCAGUAAAGUGAGAUAUAUCCUUUGGCCAUUCUCUUACAAGGACUAUUUUACUUCCUCUAAAGUGAGAGUAUUGGAAGGAAUAUUAAUUAUUUUUGUCAUAUAUUUUAUCAGUCAAUUUUUGAAAUGGAUUUCAGAAAUAUGUAUUUUAAAGCUGUAUCAUGUCUUUGAGUUCUAUAUUUAAAAAGGUAUGGUUUUAAGGUGUCCCCUCCAAAAUUUCUGUUGAAAUGUGAUUACCAACGUGGCAGCAUUGGAGGAUGGGACCUUUGUGGGGUGCUGGAGCCAUAAUGGUUCUGCCCUUGUGGGUGAGAUUAAUGCCAUUAUGAAAGGGUAACUUCAGCCUUAGUUUGUUUCUUUGUCCAUCCACCUUCUGCCAUGUGAGGAUCAAGGGUUCCUUGAUCCUGGCAUGGCACAUGGCAGGACAGCAUUGUGUUUGUGGAAACAAUGCCAUCAUAAGGUUCUCCAGGACUGGCCGAGAGGGAGGAACCUGAAUGAAUCCAGUUUCCAGUACAUGUGAAAUGCUGCAUAAGAAACAAGUAAGUAAGCAAGUAAAACACAGGGUGUGAUCAUUGCUGCUUUAGUCACAAGCCCAGGGUGCACAAUGGGUUUUUUGUUUGUUCCAGUUCCUGGUAAGAUGAGGAAUGUGGUGUUUCAGGGCAGGUUUCUGUGAGGAAGUGAUGCCCGGGACAAAGUUCCUGGGGGAAGGAAUAGGCUGCCAUCUUUGCUGUUUAGAUGACUCAGCUGUUCCAACCUGUGGGCUUUGGAGAGUCCAAACCAACCAAGGGCUGAACGUAUCCCCGACCACAGCACAGCUGCUCUCCCAAAACGUGGCCAGACUGCUUCUUUAAGCAGGUCCUUGAUCCAUUUCUCUUCACUGAGCGGGACCUCCCAACCGGGGCCUCCAGCCGUCCCCACCAGUGUUCUCUAGCCAACAGAGAUUUGGAAAUUUCCUGGGAUGGAGCUCCCAAAGAGAGAGGCAGGCUGCCAUCUUUACUGUUUGGAAAACUUAGUCUUUCCAGCCUCCAGCCUUUCAAGAGCCCAAGGCAACCAGGAACAGAAGUGGUAUCCCAGCAAACAUGGCUGCUUGACAAAAGGAUGUCCAGACAGCUUCUUUAAGAGGUUCCCUAAUUCCAUUCCUCCUGACUGAGUGAGACCUCCAAACCAGGGUCUUCAACCACUUCCUACAGGUGCAUUCAGGUCAGCAACAGGUCCGUACCUCCCUGGCGCUCCCAGAUGAAGGGGCAGGCUAUCAUAUUUGCUGUUUCACAGCUUUCACACGUGAUACCUCCAGGUACUGGAAAAUCGGAGAUGACUAGGGACUGGAGUGGACCCCCAACAAACCGCAGCAGCCCUACUGAAGAGUGGCCAGCCUAAACUUCCAAUCCAGUAGAGUGAGUGCUGUCAAUUCUCAGAGAAAGUCACUGUUUUAGAUUGUGUAGGCUUUGCUUAUGUCCCCUUCAUCAGUAGUUUAUAUUUCUUCCAGGGAUUUCCUCUAUUUAUUUGUAAUUUUAAAAAUUCAGUUUUGAACUUUAUCUGACCAGUCUCCUCCUUCUGUGAAGCGUUGAAGGAAUUUUGCCCAGUUUGUAUUUAGAAGAACAGAAGGGAAGGUCUAAGAAACAUAAGGAUGGGCUCCAAGGACAAAGUUUCUUUUUCCACU